rnacentral:rRNA from 1 species
AGCGUGCGCAGGCGGUUAUGUAAGACAGAUGUGAAAUCCCGGGCCUCAACCUGGGAACUGCAUUUGUGACUGCAUGGCUAGAGUACGGUAGAGGGGGAGUGGAAUUCCGCGUGUAGCAGUGAAAUGCGUAGAUAUGCGGAGGAACACCGAUGGCGAAGGCAAUCCCCUCGGACCUGUACUGACGCUCAUGCACGAAAGCGUGGGGAGCAAACAGGAUUAGAUACCCCAGU